rnacentral:rRNA from 1 species
AUUGAACGCUGGCGGGAGGCCUAACACAUGCAAGUCGAACGAGUGGCGGACGGGUGAGUAAUGUCUGGGAACCUGCCCGAUGGCGGGGGAUAACUACUGGAAACGGUAGCUAAUACCGCAUACCAUCGGAUGUGCCCAGAUGGGAUUAGCUAGUAGGUGGGGUAACGGCUCACCUAGGCGACGAUCCCUAGCUGGUCUGAGAGGAUGACCAGCCACACUGGAACUGAGACACGGCCCAGACUCCUACGGGAGGCAGCAGUGGGGAAUUUUGCACAAUGGGCGCAAGCCUGAUGCAGCCAUGCCGCGUGUAUGAAGAAGGCCUUCGGGUUGUAAAGUACUUUCGGCGAGGAGGCGUUACUCGCAGAAGAAGCACCGGCUAACUCCGUGCCAGCAGCCGCGGUAAUAC